AAGCGGCAACAGCUCAAAUUUGAAAUCUGGUCCCCAGGGCCCGAGUUGUAAUUUGUAGAGGAUGCUUUUGGCGAGGCGCUUCCGAGUUUCCUGGAACGGGACGCCACAGAGGGUGAGAGCCCCGUCUGGUCGGAUGCCAAGCCUAUGUAAAGCUCCUUCGACGAGUCGAGUAGUUUGGGAAUGCUGCUCAAAAUGGGAGGUAUAUGUCUUCUAAAGCUAAAUACCGGCCAGAGACCGAUAGCGCACAAGUAGAGUGAUCGAAAGAUGAAAAGCACUUUGAAAAGAGGGUUAAAAAGUACGUGAAAUUGUUGAAAGGGAAGCGCCUAUGACCAGACUUGGGCCCGGUGAAUCAUCCAGCGUUCUCGCUGGUGCACUUUGCCGGGCACAGGCCAGCAUCAGUUUGGCGCGGGGGACAAAGGCUUCGGGAAUGUGGCUCCCCUCGGGGAGUGUUAUAGCCCGUUGCGCAAUACCCUGCGCCGGACUGAGGUACGCGCUCCGCAAGGAUGCUGGCGUAAUGGUCAUCAGCGACCCGUCUUGAAACACGGACCAAGGAGUCGUCUUCGUAUGCGAGUGUUCGGGUGUAAAACCCCUACGCGUAAUGAAAGUGAACGCAGGUGAGAGCUUCGGCGCAUCACCGACCGAUCCUGAUGUUCUCGGAUGGAUUUGAGUAAGAGCAUACGGGGCCGGACCCGAAAGAAGGUGAACUAUGCCUGUAUAGGGUGAAGCCAGAGGAAACUCUGGUGGAGGCUCGCAGCGGUUCUGACGUGCAAAUCGAUCGUCAAAUAUGGGCAUGGGGGCGAAAGACUAAUCGAACCUUCUAGUAGCUGGUUUCCGCCGAAGUUUCCCUCAGGAUAGCAGUGUUGAACUCAGUUUUAUGAGGUAAAGCGAAUGAUUAGGGACUCGGGGGCGCUAUAUAGCCUUCAUCCAUUCUCAAACUUUAAA
rnacentral:rRNA from 1 species